UUAUGUUAAACACAAUAGCAUACUUUCAGAUAUUCCAUAUUUCACAACAGGAUCAUUUUGUAUCUAGUAAUAAUAUAGGUUAUUGAUUUAGGAUGCACUAAAUUAAUCAAAUCACAAAGUAGAGUCAAGAAUUAAUAUGUUUCUUUGUGUAGGCUCAUUCCGGUCUGACGUGUCUCCUCAAGGUUGAUUUGUCAAGAUUGCCAGAAAAAGAUCUGCAAAUCAUUACCGUUUUCAUUACAAGAAUAACAACCACAAAUAUAGGGUAUACCCUGUAUAAUCUCUUCACAGUCGACAGCUCGACCAUCCUAAUGCUCAUUGGAACAAUGUUGACUUACGUCAUUGUGGUUCUUCAAUUCAAGCCUGAUUGACAUUUAUGUACACAUCAACGGCAUAGAGUGUAGAUGUUAGAAUUAAUCUAUUAAUGUUUAUAUCCAUUUAGUGCUAC